UACGUAGGGUGCAAGCGUUGUCCGGAAUUAUUGGGCGUAAAGAGCUCGUAGGCGGUUUGUCGCGUCUGCUGUGAAAACUCGGGGCUUAACCCCGGGCCUGCAGUGGGUACGGGCAGACUAGAGUGCGGUAGGGGAGACUGGAAUUCCUGGUGUAGCGGUGAAAUGCGCAGAUAUCAGGAGGAACACCGGCGGCGAAGGCGGGUCUCUGGGCCGUAACUGACGCUGAGGAGCGAAAGCGUGGGGAGCGAACAGG
rnacentral:rRNA from 1 species